rnacentral:hammerhead_ribozyme from 1 species
GUCCACCUGACGAGUCCGAAAUUGAACGAAACGCGCGUUCUGGAU